rnacentral:sRNA from 1 species
GCCAAGUAUGGUGGGGUGUACCUGUAAUCCCACCUACUCAGGAGGCUGAGGCAGGAGGAUCACUUGAGCCGGGAGUUUAAGGCUAGCCUGGCCAACAGAGUGAGACCCUGAUUUCC